UACGUAGGGGGCAAGCGUUGUCCGGAUUUAUUGGGCGUAAAGAGCGUGUAGGCGGCCGCACAGGUCCGUUGUGAAAACUGGAGGCUUAACCUUCAGACGUCGAUGGAAACCGUGCGGCUAGAGUCCGGAAGAGGAGAGUGGAAUUCCUGGUGUAGCGGUGAAAUGCGCAGAUAUCAGGAAGAACACCCGUGGCGAAGGCGGCUCUCCGGGACGGUACUGACGCUGAGACGCGAAAGCGUGGGGAGCGAACAGG
rnacentral:rRNA from 1 species